AUUGAACGCUGGCGGCAUGCCUUACACAUGCAAGUCGAACGGCAGCACGGGUGCUUGCACCUGGUGGCGAGUGGCGAACGGGUGAGUAAUACAUCGGAACAUGUCCUGUAGUGGGGGAUAGCCCGGCGAAAGCCGGAUUAAUACCGCAUACGAUCUACGGAUGAAAGCGGGGGACCUUCGGGCCUCGCGCUAUAGGGUUGGCCGAUGGCUGAUUAGCUAGUUGGUGGGGUAAAGGCCUACCAAGGCGACGAUCAGUAGCUGGUCUGAGAGGACGACCAGCAACAGGGGGCGGGAGACACGCCCGAGCCUCCGGCGGAGAGAGACGGUGGAGAUUUUUGACGAAGGGGCGAAUGCCGAAACAACCAACGCGGGGUGUGUAAAGAGGGCUUUCGGUUUAAAAAGCUUUUUAGCCCAAAAAAAUACCUUUGCCCCUAAUGCGGGGGGGGAAGGAGGAAACCGGAAAAAUAGCCCCGGGCAAAGUACUUG
rnacentral:rRNA from 1 species